rnacentral:rRNA from 1 species
GUUCUUUUUUUUUGCCUAUACUGGUGACGAGCGGAAGAUGGGAGCCUGCUCCCUGAUGUCAGCGGCGGACGGGUGAGUAACACGUGGGUAACCUGCCUGUAAGACUGGGAUAACUCCGGGAAACCGGGGCUAAUACCGGAUGCUUGAUUGAACCGCAUGGUUCAAUUAUAAAAGGUGGCUUUUAGCUACCACUUACAGAUGGACCCGCGGCGCAUUAGCUAGUUGGGGAGGUAACGGUUCACCAAGGCAACAAUGCGUAGCCAACCUGAGAGGGUGAUCGGCCACACUGGGACUGAGACACGGCCCAAACUCCUACGGGAGGCAGCAGUAGGGAAUCUUCCGCAAUGGACAAAAGUCUGACGGAGCAACGCCGCGUGAGUGAUGAAGGUUUUCGGAUCGUAAAACUCUGUUGUUAGGGAAGAACAAGUACCGUUCGAAUAGGGCGGUACCUUGACGGUACCUAACCAGAAAGCCACGGCUAACUACGUGCCAGCAGCCGCGGUAAUACGUAGGUGGCAAGCGUUGUCCGGAAUUAUUGGGCGUAAAGCGCGCGCAGGCGGUUUCUUAAGUCUGAUGUGAAAGCCCCCGGCUCAACCGGGGAGGGUCAUUGGAAACUGGGGAACUUGAGUGCAGAAGAGGAGAGUGGAUUUCCACGUGUAGCGGUGAAAUGCGUAGAGAUGUGGAGGAACACCAGUGGCGAAGGCGACUCUCUGGUCUGUAACUGACGCUGAGGCGCGAAAGCGUGGGGAGCGAACAGGAUUAGAUACCCUGGUAGUCCACGCCGUAAACGAUGAGUGCUAAGUGUUUAGAGGGUUUCCGCCCUUUAGUGCUGCAGCAAACGCAUUAAGCACUCCGCCUGGGGAGUACGGUCGCAGACUGAACUCAAAGGGAAUUGACGGGGGCCCCGCAC